AUGAGCAAGCAGGCCCUGCAGUGCCCGGCCGCCAGCAGGGGGUGUCCGAGUUUGCCUUUUCAGAUUCCUGAGGUUCCGCCACCUGCCUGCCUCCCAGAGCCGUGCAUAGCCUAUGCCAGGGUGGAACUGCAUUCUUCUCAGCACAGACUCAGAGGACACCGUGAAGGUGGAGCUGCAUUCUGCUCAUCACAGACCUGGGGGCACUGUGAGGGCAGAGCUGCGUUCUGUGCAGCACAGACCCAGGGGUUACCACGAGGGCAGAGCUGCAUUCUGCUCAGGACAGACCCGGGGGCACGGCAAAGGCAGAGCAGUGUUCUCCCCAGCACAGACACGGAGGACACUGUAAGGGCGGGGCUGCUUUCUUCUCAGCACAGACCAGGAGGGGGACACCAUGAAGGCAGAGCUGCGUUCUCAACACAGACCCUGGGGGCACUAUCUCACUUUGGGACAACUCAGGACCACAUCCAUGGACCCACUCAAGAAGAGGCAAUGGCUUUGGAGCACCUGGUAGUGUGUCCACAGUGAAGACCAGAGUUUCGUUGUCCUCAAGACUGACCUGGGGAGACGUGGCUGCGGGCCAGUGAGGAAGGUGAGGCUAAAGCUUCCUGUCUGUUCCCUGGGUGCUAAAGGGAGCUCUGCCAUGGGCUUUACUUCACACGUUAUAUUCUGCAAGUCUUGUUUUACAAAAGCAUCCCUUCCUCAAGGCUUUGGUUGCUCAUCAUCACAGCGUGUCAUAACACAUGAUAAGAUUUGGGUUUGCUUCUGCUGGGAGAUCUUGGUAUACAGAAAGGAGAAAUGCUUAGAGCCACUGUCGGGACAGUUGGGAUGAAAGCUGGAGAUGGGCAGAGGCUGGAGGAAACAUGUACACCCCCUGUAAAUGCUUUUAUUCAUGUUUUCAUUACUCAUUUUUCUUACAGUGUUAAAUUAGUAAAAAUAGUAUUGAAAAAUUGAAAAGUAGGCAUAUUAAAACUUGCAAUAUUAUUUAAGUUUAAAUAUAUUAUUUGUACCUCAUCGACAUUUUUUAUUUUGUUGAGAAAGUCAAAGGUUAAUUGGCAGCAUAUUUUUAAUAGUAGAUAGAAUAAUGUCUGUUUUAUAAACAUUGACAUCCUACAUUACAUGUGUGAACCCUGAAAAUCUGAGACAGGUCUCAGAUUUUUUAGAAAGUUUAUUUUGCCAUGUUUGAGGAUGUGCCCGUGAUGCCUCCGCAGGAGGUACCGACAACGCAGGCCCAAGGUGGUCAGGGCCCAGCUUGGUUUUACACACUUUAGGGAGACAUGAGACAUCAAUCAAUAUGUGAAAGAUGUACCUUGGUUCACUCCAGAAAGGUGAGACAACUUGAAGAGAAGGCCAGAGAGGGAGCUUCCAGGUCAUAGGUACAUAAGAGACAAAUGGUUUCAUUCUUUUGAGUUGCCGGUUACUCUCUCCCAAUGAGGCACUCAGAUACGCAUUUCUCUUGGUGAGCAGAUGGGUGACUCUCAGAGGGAGUCCUGUGUUGUCGACAAGCAUUCUGACCUAUAGCUGAUUG
rnacentral:lncRNA from 1 species